rnacentral:rRNA from 1 species
UACAGAGGGUGCAAGCGUUAAUCGGAAUUACUGGGCGUAAAGCGUGCGCAGGCGGUUCUAUAAGACAGAUGUGAAAUCCCCGGGCUCAACCUGGGAACUGCAUUUGUGACUGUAGAGCUGGAGUACGGUAGAGGGGGAUGGAAUUCCGCGUGUAGCAGUGAAAUGCGUAGAUAUGCGGAGGAACACCGAUGGCGAAGGCAAUCCCCUGGGCCUGCACUGACGCUCAUGCACGAAAGCGUGGGGAGCAAACAGG